GCUGGGCGUGGUGGCACACGCCUGUAAUCCCAGCAAUUUGGGAGGCUGACGCAGGAGGAUUGAGAGUUGAAAGCCCUAAUGAGACCCUGUCUUUU
rnacentral:sRNA from 1 species